GGUGGUUUGGCCCAGUGGGUAGAGCUAAGGGCUCGCGACCGGGAGGUGUGGGUUUGAAUCUCGCAAGAGGCC
rnacentral:tRNA from 1 species